UGGGGAAUUUUGGACAAUGGGCGAAAGCCUGAUCCAGCAAUGCCGCGUGUGUGAAGAAGGCCUUCGGGUUGUAAAGCACUUUUGUCCGGAAAGAAAUCCUUGGCUCUAAUACAGUCGGGGGAUGACGGUACCGGAAGAAUAAGCACCGGCUAACUACGCGCCAGCAGCCGCGGUAAUACGUAGGGUGCAAGCGUUAAUCGGAAUUACUGGGCGUAAAGCGUGCGCAGGCGGUUUGCUAAGACCGAUGUGAAAUCCCCGGGCUCAACCUGGGAACUGCAUUGGUGACUGGCAGGCUAGAGUAUGGCAGAGGGGGGUAGAAUUCCACGUGUAGCAGUGAAAUGCGUAGAGAUGUGGAGGAAUACCGAUGGCGAAGGCAGCCCCCUGGGCCAAUACUGACGCUCAUGCACGAAAGCGUGGGGAGCAAAACAGGAUUAGAUACCCUGGUAGUCCACGCCCUAAACGAUGUCAACUAGUUGUUGGGGAUUCAUUUCCUUAGUAACGUAGCUAACGCGUGAAGUUGACCGCCUGGGGAGUACGGUCGCAAGAUUAAAACUUAAAUGAAUUGACGGGGUCAUAGCUGUUUCCU
rnacentral:rRNA from 1 species